rnacentral:misc_RNA from 1 species
GAUGAAGAACGUAGCGAAAUGCGAUAAGUAGUGUGAAUUGCAGAAUUCCGUGAAUCAUCGAAUCUUUGAACGCACAUUGCGCCCGUCAGUAUUCUGACGGGCAUGCCUGUCCGAGCGUCAUUUCAACCCUCAAGCACUGCUUGGCGUUGGCGGAUUGCGUGCCCUCGCGGCGCUGCAACCGCCCAAAUACAGUGGCGGUCCCGCUGCGGCUCCCUUUGCGUAGUAACUCACCUCGCACUGGACCGGGCGGCGGCCUGCCGUAAAACCCCAACUCACGAAAUGUUGACCUCGGAUCAGGUAGGAAUACCCGCUGAACUUAAGCAUAUCAAUAAGCGGAGGA